GAGCUCACUUCAGCAGUACAUAUACUAAAACUGGACCUACACAGAGAUUAGCAUGGCCCCUGCACAAGGAUGACAUGCAAAUUUAUAAACCAUUCCCUAUUUUU
ensembl:snRNA U6 U6 spliceosomal RNA